rnacentral:snRNA from 1 species
AGCUUUGUGUGGUGGCAAUAUUGUAGCCAAUGAGGUUUAUCCGAGGCACGAUUAUUGCUAAGAAAAAAAGACAGAUGAAAAAGACCUUGGCUUUUGAGCAAGUAAAACAAGCAUCAUGUGACAGGCUCAAAGCU